UACGAAGGGUGCAAGCGUUACUCGGAAUUACUGGGCGUAAAGCGUGCGUAGGUGGUGGUUUAAGUCCGUUGUGAAAGCCCUGGGCUCAACCUGGGAAUUGCAGUGGAUACUGGGUCACUAGAGUGUGGUAGAGGGUAGCGGAAUUCCCAGUGUAGCGGUGAAAUGCGUAGAUAUUGGGAGGAACACCGGUGGCGAAGGCGGCCCCCUGGACCGGUACUGACGCUGAGGCGCGAAAGCGUGGGUAGCAAACGGG
rnacentral:rRNA from 1 species